GGCGAACCGUGCGAACGUUGUUCGGAAUCACUGGGCUUAAAGGGCGCGUAGGCGGGUGUGCAAGUCUGCGGUGAAAGCCUCCAGCUUAACUGGAGAAGUGCCGUGGAUACUGCUCAUCUUGAGGAGGGUAGGGGCAUCUGGAACGGUCGGUGGAGCGGUGAAAUGCGUUGAUAUCGACCGGAACUCCGGUGGCGAAGGCGAGGUGCUGGACCCUUUCUGACGCUGAGGCGCGAAAGCCAGGGGAGCAAACGGG
rnacentral:rRNA from 1 species